ACAACCUCAACUCAUAUGGGACUACCCCCUGAAUUUAAGCAUAAAUCACUAGUGAAUUC
rnacentral:rRNA from 1 species